GCUUCUUGAUGCGGCCCCUUUUGCUGGUUGCUCCCAAAUGGCGGCGAAGCCAGGCUGGAAAGCCCAGCGGAAGAAGCCGAGGGGUUUCUGCUGAUCCCACAAUACUGACGGCCAAGCUCGUCAGGACAACUGGGAGCUGUUUUUACCCUGGAGAGAGGGGCCUCCACACGAAGGCAGGAACUCUCUCUCUGCCUUCGACGCUGACUCCUGGUGCCAGGGACAAACGGCGUCCCUUUCCCACACAGGUUUCUAGCUCUGAUGGUGGGAACUUCAGGCUGUCUCCUUAGGCCUCUAAGAAACACGUUCACCCUGUCAGGCCUGACUCAGCACUUGCUGCUCACAGGGAAUUCAGGACUAUGGCUGCUUUUCUUCAACUCACACACACUGGGUGGAGGAGCCAGGAACCCCGGGGACAGAGAGGAGGGCGCUUACCGCUAGUGCUGAGUGUGUGUUGGUGAGUUCCGAAGUGUCCCAGUAAAUUUGCAGUUGGGGUGUUACUCUUUUUUCGCAGUGAAAGCCAGGCUUUUCGGCAUGGCGAACUGUCAGGUAGACUGGCUUUUCGCAGGCUUCCCCCAUAUUCUGUGACAAAGAAUCAGGACAGAUCCGGUAAGCCACCCCACGCCAAGAUAACAGUUGGUUUGAUCUCAGGCCCACAGACCCUUGAAGGGCCAGCCUUGUGUUUGACUGUUUAGAUGACAACAACACUUGGCGUCUUUGCAGUCUCCCCUCUGCACAGAACUUCCUGUGACGGAGAGCGUCUCAGUGUAGCCAUCCGGCCGUCAGAAAGCCUGUCGUCAUUCGGUUGUGUGAUUCUUGCCAAGGCAAAGAGACACGAGUGUGCAGCCAGCUGUUCUUCGGGGAGGACAAGCUUGGCUGUGACCCCCUGCUUACGUGCCUCCAGUGAGCAUUCUGACACAAACCUAGGCACGUCUGGAGCCUCACCAUUCCUGUUUCUCUGCUUGCUGAUCCUGGGUGAGAUGUGAACAGCUGCCUCAUGCUUCUGUCACCACGGGCUCCCUUCUGUGAUUAACUGCAGCCUCAAACCAUGGCCGGCAUAAGUCCUUCCCUCCUCGAUGUUGUAAGGUACUUGUCUCAUCACCGUAACCCGACGGAAGCAGCUGAAGGGAGAAAAGCCUUCCUCUGGUCCACAGUUUGGGGGUCCUGUCCAUCACAGUGGGACAGUCUUGCGGCAGGAGUGUGGGUUCUUCUCAUCGGAGGCUGGAGGUGAGGCUCAUGGUUGGACAAAGUUGCAUGUCGUGCUUAUGCGGGGCCUCAUCCUGAGUCAGGUGCAGACAGUGAGAGCUCUCCUGAGUGCUAAGUGCCUACUGUAUACUUCUCACAGAGAAGAUACACAGAGCCAGCUCAUGUGAUCUCAUUUGCAACAAGAAGACAAAAAGCUUGAUUUUGCACCUUCAACACCCCAUUAAAACCUUCUUCCAGUCAGCCUGGAGACAGAACCAUAUGGCUGCCAUCUUUGAAAACAAGAAGAGCCCAGGUCUCCCUUUGUCUUCCAUCUCCCUCCUCCGUCUCAGCUCUUACAGCUAUUGCAGCAGGGACACGGCUUCCUCCUUCCCUGGUCACCCUUCGCCUGCGUGCUCUCCGGCAGCCGCCCUCGGGCAUCCGCAGGCAGAGUCACUGCUAGGAUGGACCUCUAACCCAGUUCUUCAUUCUGUUUUUGUGUUUAUGUAUUGUGUGUACACAGUGCUGUGUGAGGUCAGGGGGCAAUGUUCAGGAGUUGGUUCCCUCCUUCCAUCGUGGUUCCAGAGACUCCACCAUCAGGCUCGUGUUAGCUGCCGAGCCGUCUCACCAGCCUCUGGUUUGUUUUGAGAUAGAUAGGGUCUCACUUCAUGCAGGCUGAUGAAAACUCACUCUGCAGCUGAAGAUUUCACAUUUGUUGUUUAAGAGUCUGGCUGUCCUGGAACCCACUAUGUAGAGCAAGUGGGCCUCGAACUCAUGAGGGUCUUUCUGCCUCUUCCUCCUGGGUGCUGGGAUUAAAGGCAUGUGCUACCAUGAUCAGCAAUUCUGGGACUUCACAGUCAUCCUGACUCAGUCUCUUGAGUCCUGGGAUCACCACACCUUAUUAAUUAGUGAUUGGGGCUGAGACGGUUCAGAGGUGAAGAGCACUGGGUGCUCUUCCAGAGGACCCAGGUUCAGUUUCCAGUACCCACAUGGUGGCUCACAACCCUCUGUAACUCUAGUUUUAGGAGGUAUGAUGCCCUCUUCUGAUCUCCAUGGACACCAGGCAUGAACAAUAGGGCACAGAUGUAUAACCAAGCAAAAUACUUAUACAUCCCAAAAAAAAAACCUAAAAAAGAAAUAAUGAUUGUAUUAUCUGGAAAGCUUAAAAAAGACUUUAAAAAUUCAGAUUCUCAUUUAUUUAUUUAUGUAUGUAUUUAUUAUUUAUUCUUGUAUGUGUUUGCCCACAUAUAUGUGUGUACCGUGUGGCUGCAGUGCCUGUGGAGGCCAGAAGGGGGCAUCAGAUCCCUUGGAAUGGGAGUUACCUGGCUGCUGGAACCCAAACCUGCCUUCUUUGGAGGAGCAGCCAGUGCUCUUAACCACUGAGCCAUCUCUCCCACUCCUUUAUUUUGUCUCUUCCCUCUUUUUUUUUGUCUUGGAGCUAAGCUCUUACAGUUAAAUGUCAUGUGUAGGUAGAUUCUCCCAGGCUGUGUUGCCUGAUGCUUUUAUUCCUUUUCACAUAGGUAGGAAUAUCAGAUAAACUAUUUUCAGAUGCUAAGGAAAAUUAAGCUUCCAGCUUCAGGAUCACCCAGUUACUGUGCAUGAUUGCCCAAAAUACCACCCUCUAAUAUCACCUAAUAGUUUGUGGUUUUCUUAUCUUUCAUUUUUCUUCAGAAAAAAAAAAAACAUCCUUUGAAUAAUGAGAAUUAAUUUUAAAGACAGAAUUACUGCUUUUAAAAAUGACACACUUAAAAAUAUAAAAGAGGGAACUGCAUGCAUGCUGAAAGGAAAUCUCAUCGUGUGGAGAGGUUUUAGCCAGAGGUCUCUCUCUUCCUCCUGACUCUGGGAUCCCGGGACUUUAAUCCACAGGCAUUCGUAAACCUCCCUGUUUUUUUUUUUUCUUUGUUGUUGUUUUGAGACAAGAUUUGACUAUGUAGCCCAGGCUAGCUGGGGCUUCUCAAUGCUCUUGCCUCAGCUUCCUGAGUGCUGGGAUUAUAGGUGUGUGCCACCACCCCAACUUCCCACUGCUUUAAAAAAAUGCUCACAUCCAGUUCUUUCACACCUGGGUUUUUUUCAUGUCGCCAUAUGUCUUGGCAGUUCGCUGCUGUCAGUCAGAGGGAGCAACCUCGUCUGUCUUCCUGUGUACAGCCUGUUAGCUGGCACUUCCCUGCCCCAGCGCUUGGGCUGGCAGGGCCCAGGCUGCAGCCAGUCCGGAGUUGCUGGAAAUCUUCCAGACUUUGCAUGCUACGGCCACUGCCCACUCUGCUUCCCAGUGCGUCUGUUCCUCCUAACAUAAAGUCAUUCUUAAAGCAGGUUCUCCCAGCAGAGGUUCCCCUGCUUCCCGAGACGGAGCCCCGUAGACAUCACUCCUCCCUUUAAAAUAAACUAAAACCAAAACUGAAGUGUUUUCAGACAAUGUAAUUAUAUUAUUUUCCCUUUCCUCUCUCCAAACCCUCCCAUGUACCUACCUUUUCUCCAAUUUUAAUUUUUUUGGCCCCCUUUCCAUUAAUUGUUAAUAUUUAAAUAAUGUAUAAACCUGUAUAAAAAUAUGUAUAUUGUUAUAUAUACAAUAUAAAAUAUUAACAUAUACUAUAGUAAUAUAAUAUUUUAUAUUAAUUUCAGCAACAUAUAUCUAAAUACCAAAAUGGUAUAUAUAACAUAUCUAAUAUAUCAUAAUAUUUUAUGUUUAUAUAUAUAUAAUACCAAAAUACAACCUGCUGGACCUGUAUAAUGUUACUUGUAUGCAUGUAUUUUCAGGGCUGACAAUUUGGUGUUAGAUGCUGUUUGGUGGGCUCUCUCCCGGGAAAGACUCUUUGUCCCUCUCUUGGCAUUCCUUAAUUGCCUGAGUUCUCUGUUUAGAGUUGAGGCCUCGCGAGCGUUCCUCUGUCCAUAUUGCCUGUGCUGGGAUGACCUUCUCCUGCUUCAUACAAUGUGCCGGAAGGUCAUCCCAAUAGCAUGUGUGUCCGCGUCUUUGUUCAGGUCAUGUUUGGCAGCCAUGUUGAUGAGACUUCAUGAGUGUGGCCUUUGACAGCCCCCUGCUCCUCUGGCUCUUACAGUCUUCCUGCCCCCCUCUUCCAAAAUGAUCCCUGAGGCCUGGGCAGUGUUGAAGACAGGCCCUGUGCCGCAACCCUGCGUUUUGAUUGGCUGUGGUUUUCUGUAAUGGUCUCCAGCUAUUUCGAAGAGCAGUUUCUGUGCUGAGGGGCGAGAACCACACUUAUCUGCCCAGACUUCAGAGAAGGACGCUCAGGGUCUGGGUCGGGAACUACCCGGUUUUAGGAAGCGCGGCCAUACCGCCUGUGGGGGCAUCUCAGGAGACAGCAGGGCAGGAGUUACUAGCCCUGCAGAGGAGGUACCUGGCGGUCAGUGUUGGUGCGCGAUCCAGCGCGAGCGACAGGAGGCGGGGAUGCAGUUUGGGGCCAGUGUGCGUUGGCGUCCCACCAGACAGUGGUCUGCUUCUGAGGAAACAGAGGAAAGGAAGGUGGGAGGGAGGCGUGUUGGGGAUUAUGGGUGGAGUGUCACAGAGUGUUAGGUAGUGAUUUCCUCAGAAUUGAAAUAUUCCUUUCUGAAAGGAGGAAGGAGGCUCAUGAGACUCGGCAAAUCCCAGGGAGCUGAGAGGUAACACAUCCCCAAGGUCCCUCCCCAGGGCUGAGCAGCGGCUGGGGAGAAGGAAAGAGGCAGCUGUACCUGGCAACUAUUUCUUCAAGCAAACCAGCCACCUUGCUUCCCAGGUGCCCCGGGCUUCAGCUUCUGUAGGUUGUCACCUGUGUUGGUGGGUGGUGGUGGGUGUUUUGGUGAUGCAGCUGCCUGUUGAAGAUUGAGACUGGUGGGGUUGCUUACAGGAGUCAUCGGUGCUCCUGUAAGCAACCCCACCCACAGAUCCUCCUGUAAGUACCCCUAACCCACCCAUCCUCCUGUAGGUACCCCCUCAUCCACCCAUCCUCCUCUAAGGACCCCCUCAUCCACCCAUCCUCCCAUAAGUACCCCCUCAUCCACCUGUCCUCCUGCUAGUAUCACCCCCAAUCCACCCCUAGUCCUGUAAACAACCCUGAAAAACUAACAGGUUUACAAGUUGGACGUUGCUGGAAUCCUCAUGUGCUCUGUCCUUGCAUCUCUGACUGGGGUGAACUGGCAUUUGUCUUGCAUCUUCCCAGGAAAGGGAGCUAUUGUCUAAUGUCCCACCUUCAGAGUAAAGUGUACCCUUAUGUCCUCUCUGAGUGACAUGUGCAAAUAUUCACCAGAAAAAGAAAGGAAGAUGGGAGAGACAUUAAAAAUUAAUUAAUGGCCCGAACCAGAGUUUAUAGAUUGUUUUUCCUGCUUUUAAACAGAAUCUUCCUUGCAGAGUGCCUUGUUAAAUAUGGGCACUGGAGGAGGAGUCGGGCGGGGACGGUCAGCAUGCUUCCUUUCAUUAUGAAUGUGGCUCCAAGCACCCAGCACAGCCAAUUUGGCGGCUUGCAGCUCUGAUGGUGCACAGAGCUAUUGAUUUCUGCAUGUGUGUUUCCACAGACUUCCUCAAAACAGACAAGCGUUCAGAUUCUCCCAGCACAAUCCAGAUCAUUCUGCCUCUUGGCAGGGAGAGCAAAGGACGAGACUGAAUAGGUCAGCUUGUGCAAGGGCUGGCUUCUCCCACUCAGCCACUCCCAUCGUAGCUUCCCUAGACCCUGUCCACUAUUGGGUGCAAAGGGCUAGGAGAGAGCCCCCUGGGAAUCCUAGCCAUGACUCACCUGCAAGUCCAGCUCUGCCCUGGGAAAGCGCUCUCUGGACCCUUCCAGCAAGCCUGCGUGGCUGCUGCAGAAACCCACCCCAACGUGCCUUUCACACUCCUUGAUUUCCUCCUGAACUUUGCCCGUUGUGGCAAACACAGAAAGAGCGUUCUUCCCAGGGAGAGCCAUUCAUCACAGCCUUCACAGCCUCCUCUCUUGCACAAGAGUCACAUCUAUUGCCAAUGGAAAGAGGGAGCCAACAGGUAUUUUUAAAGAGCCUCUAUCCACCAGAGGAUCGAAAGGAAAAUAUCCCCUCUGAACAUUUAGUCACACACACCAAAGGAGACAACAGUCUCAAUCUUCAUUUGCAUGGCACAGGCAUUAGAUGUGGUCCAGUUCCACCGGGCUCCGCUCGACGAGGCAGAACUACCAGCACUUUUCAAGCCUUGACUGAGACAGAGAGAAAAUGCAGCCAGGCAAACAAUACAUCACCCUGCCAAGGCAUUUUCCAUUUUUAAAAGGACAGAACAAUUUUACAUUAUUUUUGGAGCCUCUUUGCAGCAAAUAUCCCUUGACAUUUGUUCUGCCGCUCUGGCCAGCCUGUCUGAAAGUCUUAGUGGGUUUCAGCCUGCAGCUCCUGAGUGUCGCUGGGGACUACCUCUGCCUUCAGCUCUUGAAUUUCCAGACAUAUGAGAAGGGCAAGCAGCUUUCCCCUCCUCCUUUUCUUUCUUCUCCUUCUCUUCCUCCUCUUCCUCCUCCUCUUUCUCUUCUCUCUUCCUUCUUUUGGCACAGGCUGAUUAAACUUGACAAUGCAGAGGUGGCCAAUUAAAGCGCCGUUCUGGUGAUAAGAGCACAGUGUUUGGGGAGACCCGAAGUCCCUGGGUAGAAAACUGGCAUUCAAGGCUCACAGUCACUAGAAGGCAAACGCGGGGUGGGCGUCAGUUCUGCGGGUUAAGUGUGUGGGAGGCAGAGGGGAUGCCUGGUAGGAGGCAAUGAACUGCACUCACACUUGGGGUAGAAGCAAACAGAAACUGGCAUCAACCACUUCUGGUUUAGGGUGAUACAUGAAAGUCUCCCGAGUCUGAGGAAUCCAGGGUAUCUCAUGACAUCCGCCAAACUGUUCGUGUGCACAUGGUGUCCCUGAUCGUGCACAUACAUGUGCACGCAUGAGAGGGCAGAGGUUGACACUGGGUGUCUCCACUGAUUGCUCUCCACCACCUUAUGCUUCCGGGCAGGUCACUCAUUGAGCCUCUAGUCUUGCUGAUUUUGGCUAAUCUGGUUGGCGGCCACGUGCCAGGGGUCCUCCUGCCCCGUCAUUCCUCCCCUGCUACCUGCUCACACCAGCGCUGUGCAGCUUUUAUGUGGGUGCUGGGCUCGAACCCAGGUCCUCACACCUGUACGGCAGCACUCAUACCCACUGUGUCCUCUCCUGAGGCGUGCACGGCUCUUUCCACGCGACCGACUCCUGGCACCCUCCUUGCCCAGUGUGAGGUUUUUUGUUUUGGGGUGGAUGGUGGAUUUUCUCGUUUCUUAUAUCUGGUCCAGGUUGGCCUGAAAGAUCUCAGAGUCCGAGUGAUUAAUCCUAGCCUGCCCUAGGAACUGUUAGUCAGCUGGCAAAAAGAAAGAGCCUCACGUGAGGCGAAAGAGCAAAUGACUUUAUCUGCAGGUGAUUACAUUUGACAGGAUGGAAAAGAAAGAGACCCUCUGUCACCGGAGAACGCUGGACUUCAGGGGUCUUCGCCCACGUCGGAAGGCUGUACACAGUGUGGAUUAAAGAGGAAACUUCCAAGGCCCGCUCCCUGCCCUCACACACCAAGGGCAGAGAAACAAAACUGCAUUUCCCCCUGUCUACAGGGUGAAGCUUUGUAAAUCAGAGCGGGAGGGAGUCCCAGGUCUACUUGGAGCCGUGCUUCCAUUCACAAGCAAAUUCUCUUUCAAGAAACCUAUUUUUGAAUUGCUAUUUACUACUGAAAUUUUAAUUUUCGCUUUUAGUAUUGUCACACACGUGGUCUGAUUCUUUGUGGGUGGUGUAGCAAGGCAGAUGGGAGCCUCUCUAAUGAAAGAGGAGUGUCGGCUUUCAUUCUAGAGGGUGAAAAGAUUAGGGGCGUCAUAAUUACCCUUCGGAUUCCACGUUGAUCUCAUACCCACGCUCGCCGUGCGCUGAGAACUUGAAAGAACACGCUGCUGCCACAAAACAAACGUUUCGACUCACUCUGAGAUUCUGAAUUUUUUUUUUUUUUUGACUUACAGGUUUUUUUCCCUUUGCUGUUAAAAAAAUUAACCCCUUCUCUAGUCCUUAAUGGACUAAGCAGUCUUCUCUUAAAUGUCUUCAAGGCUAAUUCCCUUGCCUCCUUCAAGACUGUUGCUCAAAGCUGUCAACCUGACACAGCCUAGAGUCAUGUGUGAAGAGGGCACCUUCGCUGAAGAACUGUCCAGAUCAAAUUGGCCUGUAGGCAAGCCUGUGUGGCCUGUUUGCCAUUGCUACGGGAUGUGGGAGGUCCCAGGCCACUGUGGGCAGUACCGUUCCACAGGAAGGUAAGAGGUCCUGCAAAAGAGGGUUGGCCGAGGACAAGCCUGAGCGAGGUAGGAAGCGGCCAUCCUCCAAGGCCUCUGUUUCAGUUCUUGCCUUGAGCUCCUGCCUUGGCUUUCCCUUGAUGAUGGGGUAUAGUCUGUAAGCCAAAUAAAUAAAUUUUUUCCUCUCCAAGUUGCUUUUUGUCAUGGUGUUCUGUAAUAGCAAACAGGAACACCAGGUAGACAGAUGAUUUUUUUUUUCAGCGUAGGAAACACACUCCCAAACAUAACAGUUGUUGCUCCACGGGUCACUAAGCAGUCUUGCAUCUCUUAGCAAGCGUCCUUGCUGGCCUGCGUCAGCCACUGGCCUGUGAAUUCUGAGUCUGCCUCAGCAUUGUUCAGCUUCUUUCAUCAAUUAAAACGCUGAAGAAAACUCUCGACAUAUCUUCACUUUGUAUCAGCAAGAGAAUCGUGGUUUUUAUCUUGUUGAAAAGUGUGAUGGAUGAAAGUGAGCACUUAGCAACUCUAGGAGGCCUUGGCCAGCCCCAUGGGUGAUCCCAGCCAAUGCUGGUCACCGUUGCUCCUGUGUCUUCAUUCACAUUUCUCCUACAAAUCAGAUGCAUAUAUUCUUUUAGCUUUCUGAUAUUUCUGCUUGGAUAUCUAACAGGCAUUUAGACUUACUAGCAUGCCCUAAGCAGAAUUCUGCAUUCCUACCCUCACUUAAGCUCCCCAGCCCCCACUUUUAAACACAGUACUGGUAACUGCUUAGACACAAAUCCCAAAGGCUGAGACUAGCAUGUUGGAACAGACCUGUCAUCUCAGCACUAAGGAGACGGAGGCAGGAAGAUUAGAAGUUCAGUCAUCCUCAACUUUGUGCAGAGUUCAAGGUCAGCCUGGCCUACAUGACAUUUCUUGUCAGAGAAACACCAGAAAACCAGGUGUGUCUGUGCAUGCUUUUAAUACCAGUCCUUGGGAGGCUGACUCAAGCAGAUCUCUGUGAGUCAUUAGAGGUCAAUCUGAUGUAUAUAAUGAGUUCCAGGCUAACCAGGGCUAUAUAAUGAGACCCCUCUCAAAACCAGCCAACCAACCAACCAACCAACCAACCAGCAUCUAAUAGUGGUUCAAAACCAUCUGUAACUCCAAUGCCAGGGCAUCCAGUGCCGUCUUCUGACAUCUGAAGGCCCCAGGCACAUGCAUGGUAAGACCGGGUAAGAUCUCUUUCCUCUUUGUUGGCUUAACUUUUGCCACCUAUCUUUGUAAAUAAAGUUUUAUUGAAACAUAGGCCCACCCAUUCAUGUACCAUUGUUUAGCACUGCUUUUGUGGUGCAAUCGCAGAGUUGAGCAGUUGGUAGCAGAGAGUACAAAGUCCACAAAACUUCUUCACUGAAGGUGUUUACUCACUCCUCAUGUGGAAAGUCUAGGAAAUGGCAAUCAAAGAUGUCAGCUCUUACUCUAUGGGACCUGUGAGUGUCACCUUAAUUAAAAAAUGGGUCUUUGUAGAAGUGAUUAAUGCUCUUUAGAUGGGGCAUUUGUUUGAAUUAUUUAGAUAGGGCCUUCAGUGCCAUCCUACGUAACUCAGUUGGUACAGUACCUACCUAACACACACAAAACCAUGGGUCAAAUCCCAGCACUGAGUAAAAUGGGCACAGUGGUUCACACACACAGACUGACACGGGCUACACAAGACUUUGUCUCAAAAAAAGAAAAAAAAAGCUAGAGUUGGUGGAGUUGGCACAAGUAGAAGGGAGGGGCAGAUGUAAAGACAGCUGAGAGUUAAAGAUGUUGGACCAAGGCUGAGAGGAUGUAGUUGUCAGCCUCACCAAGUACUGGAGGAGGCCAUGGAGGCUCCUCUCAGAACUGUGACGGCAUACGCUUGUGUUGUUUUAAGACACGGCGCGUGGGGGUGUAAAGUCAUCACCACAGCUCUGGGAAGGUGGUGGCUCUUGUGGCUGCCGCAGCAGAGGCCUGAGGUCUGCAGCCAUCUCUGUGUCCAGCGUGGAGGUGUUGUCCUCACCUGGCUGCAGACAGGUCUUUCAAAAGCACCAGUAAGAUAAUACCCUCAGCUCAAGAUCUAUCCAUCGCUGGUUUCUUAGAGCCUUGAGAAUAAUCCAGUGUCCCCACAGACAGGGGGUUGUUCUUUGUCCCAGUUUCAGCUUGCUCUCUGGCUCCACAUCUGUGCACAUGGCCUCACUGUGGGACUUAUAACACACAUAUGCCCUGGGGCUUUUGAACUUGCUGGUUCUACUGUCUAGAGCAUCAUCCUGCCCGUCCCAUAACUUCUAUUCUUAUUUCUUGCAGGAUUCAGAGAAAACUUCUAUGACCUACUUUCUCAGAAACAAAAACAAGAAUAAAAAUCAAACCAAAGCAAACAAUGCAGACCCCCCCAUUGUUUUUCUUCAAGCACUUAGGGCCCUUUAGUUGCUGUCAACUACGCACUACAUGGUUGUUUUCUUUCCUUCCAUAUUUCUUCCAGCUGGGUAGACAUUUUAGCAUGUUUUUUUUCAAGACAGUGUUUCUCUGUGUAGCCUUGGCUGUGCUGGACUCACUUUGUAGACCAGCAUUCUGCCUGCCUUUGCCUCCCCAAGUGCUGGGAUUACAGGUGUGCACCACCA